CUUUUUCCGGUUAUUUUCUCUCAUAAGAUAGUCACAAUGGCUAUCCGACCCCUAGUAAAACGGACAUGUGUCAAGAAAAGGACAAAGAAGUUUAUCAGGCAUCAGUCUGACCGGUACCUCAGAGUCAAGUCAAACUGGAGGAAACCAAAAGGAAUUGACAACAGAGUCCGUCGCAGAUUCAAGGGACAAUACAAAAUGCCAAACAUUGGUUAUGGAUCCAACAAGAAAACAAGACAUGUUAUGCCCGAUGGUUUCAAGAAAUUCCUUAUUCACAAUGUUAAGGUAUAUAUCUUGUUGGGAUUAUUUACAAAUAAGUCAAAGAUAAACAAUUUUCAAGAUUGAAGAAAGUUAAGUAAAUCAUAUUAUGAUUGUGUGUAUAUAGAGGAUAUCUAUAAGGCCACAUAAAAUUAAUAUUUAGAUUCUCACACUGAUUUGCAAAAAAUAUGGAGCGGGUGGGCGGAUUUUAUUUAUUGUUUUUUAAGGCGUCAAGCUCAUGGUUGCAAAUAACAUUUUCAAACCCAGGGGCCAUGUAGGCUCCUUACUUUUCAAUUUAUACAAGCCCACAAUAAUUUAUAGGGGCCCACUAAUAUUCACAAUGAAGUUAGUUUAUAAUAUCAAAAUAUAUACAAGUAGAAUAGGAAUUGUUAAGUGUCAUUAUUGAUUUGAAUUAGAUCCAAUUUAUUGUCCCCCACCGCAACGCGGAGCGGGGACGUAGAAAUGCCGGGCGUGCUUCCGUCCAUCACACUUUUUUGUAAGCGCUCUCAUGCCUACAAAUUUUGACGGAUUUUCAUUAAAUUUAUACCAAAUGUUUAUACCACUAUUACCUUGGUCAAGUUUGAAAAUCAGCAUUGGUCGAAACUUUUUGUUGGAGUUAUGGGACUUCGACCACAAUAAUGACUCCGUUUUAUCAAAAAAUUGACCUUGUAAGUGCUCUCAUGCCUACAAAUUUUAAUGGAUUUUCAUUAAAUUUAUACCAAAUGUUUAUACCACUAAUACCUUGGUCAAGUUCCUAAAUCAGCCUUUGUCGAUAGACUCGAUACUAGUAUACUGCUUGACCGGCGGGGGACCCAGGAAUUCUAUUCUUGUUAAAUUUAAUUCUUUUUGUAUUCAUACAUUUGUUAGCUAAAUGACAAAUAAAAUUAUUAGUUUCUGUAUUUCAGUGUAUUUUUGGGGUAUUAUUCCAACCCUUUGACCCAGUUACAACCAUUAUAUAUAAAGUUUUAAAGAUAACUGUAAACAAACGGUUUUAUGAUUAUUUUAGCAUUAACUUGGCCGAAUUAUUAACUAAUUACAAAUUACCAACUAAUAGUAAUAUUAACACUAAAAUUUUAAAUUAAGGGCUAAUUUAUUCCAAAUUUGAGUUAUUACCAAAAUAAUAAUAACCGGGGGGAGGGGGGGGGGUCUCUUCAUGUAUUCCCUAUUUGUGUACUGGCAGUCAUUUUUUACCAGUUUUCAAUGUUGCACGCAACGGUUAUAUUCCUGAAUGUAGUGGAGAGUGAAUAGUGCUAUAGCCUCAUACCCCUAGAUAGUGUGUUCUAGUGAUGAGAAUAACAGUAAAAAUUGAGAGCUGAUAUGGCAAAAGUUGGAGAUAACCAAAAAAAAAGGAUGUAGCUUUAACUAAAAAUUGAACCUCAGCCCAACUACCCAGGUAUACUAAAAAGUACCGUACAUGUAUUCGUGGAUGUAUUCUUUGAUAUUCACUUGGAUGUCUGUAUUUUUCAGGAAUUAGAGGUACUUCUGAUGCAGAACAGGACUUUUGCUGCAGAAAUUGCCCACAAUGUUUCCAGCAAGAAAAGGAAGGACAUCGUGGAGCGUGCCCAGCAGCUGUCUAUUAAGUUGACUAAUCCUAAUGCUCGUUUACGCUCUGAGGAUGAUGAAUAAAUAAAUAAUAGGGGAAGAGAUUUGUUGUUCUUGUUUAUGUAUAGUAAAAUCAGAUAUCUACAGGAACUGGUAAAAGUGACAAAUAGAGAUGUAAAACAGAUGUAU
rnacentral:misc_RNA from 1 species